CUUUGGGAUAACCCUCGGAAACGGGGGCUAAUACCGAAUAUGACCACUGUCCGCAUGGGUGGUGGUGGAAAGAUUUUUCGGCUGAGGUUGGACUCGCGGCCUAUCAGCUUGUUGGUGGGGUGAUGGCCUACCAAGGCGACGACGGGUAGCCGGCCUGAGAGGGCGACCAGCCACACUGGGACUGAGACACGGCCCAGACUCCUACGGGAGGCAGCAGUGGGGAAUAUUGCACAAUGGGCGGAAGCCUGAUGCAGCGACGCCGCGUGAGGGAUGAAGGCCUUCGGGUUGUAAACCUCUUUCAGCAGGGACGAAGCAUAAGUGACGGUACCUGCAGAAGAAGCGCCGGCUAACUACGUGCCAGCAGCCGCGGUAAGACGUAGGGCGCGAGCGUUGUCCGGAUUUAUUGGGCGUAAAGAGCUCGUAGGCGGCUUGUUGCGUCGACCGUGAAAACCCGGGGCUUAACUUCGGGCUUGCGGUCGAUACGGGCGGGCUAGAGUUCGGUAGGGGAGACUGGAAUUCCUGGUGUAGCGGUGAAAUGCGCAGAUAUCAGGAGGGACACCGAUGGCGAAGGCGGGUCUCUGGGCCGAUACUGACGCUGAGGAGCGAAAGCGUGGGGAGCGAACAGGAUUAGAUACCCUGGUAGUCCACGCUGUAAACGUUGGGCGC
rnacentral:rRNA from 1 species